AGGACGAACGCUGGCGGCGUGCCUAACACAUGCAAGUCGAACGAGGUCCAACCGGUGGCAACACUGGUGAAGACCUAGUGGCGAACGGGUGAGUAUCACGUGAGCAACCUGCCCCGAAGACUGGGAUAACACCGGGAAACCGGUGCUAAUACCGGAUACCCCCACCGGAUCGCAUGGUCUGGUGAGGAAAUGAAUUUUGCUUUGGGAGGGACUCGCGGCCUAUCAGCUUGUUGGUGGUGUAACGGACCACCAAGGCUUCGACGGGUAGCUGGUCUGAGAGGACGAUCAGCCACACUGGGACUGAGACACGGCCCAGACUCCUACGGGAGGCAGCAGUGGGGAAUCUUGCGCAAUGGGCGAAAGCCUGACGCAGCAACGCCGCGUGAGGGACGAAGGCCUUCUGGGUUGUAAACCUCUUUCAGCAGGGACGAUGAUGACGGUACCUGCAGAAGAACGCCCGGCCAACUACGUGCCAGCAGCCGCGGU
rnacentral:rRNA from 1 species